AGUGAACGCUGGCGGUAGGCCUAACACAUGCAAGUCGAACGGCAGCACAGUAAGAGCUUGCUCUUACGGGUGGCGAGUGGCGGACGGGUGAGGAAUACAUCGGAAUCUACUUUUUCGUGGGGGAUAACGUAGGGAAACUUACGCUAAUACCGCAUACGACCUACGGGUGAAAGCAGGGGAUCUUCGGACCUUGCGCGUUUGAAUGAGCCGAUGUCGGAUUAGCUAGUUGGCGGGGUAAAGGCCCACCAAGGCGACGAUCCGUAGCUGGUCUCAGAGGAUGAUCAGCCACACUGGAACUGAGACACGGUCCAGACUCCUACGGGAGGAAGCAGUGGGGAAUAUUGGACAAGGGGCGCAAGCCUGAUCCAGCCAUACCGCGUGAGUGAAGAAGGCCUUAGGGUUGGAAAACCCUUUUGUUGGGAAAGAAAAGCAGCAGUUUAAUCCCCCGCUGUUCUGACGGUACCCAAAGAAUAAGCACCGGCUAACUUCGUG
rnacentral:rRNA from 1 species